UAACACCAGUUUAGUGCGGAUACGAUGCAGAUCGUCAAGUUCUUGCCGGUCCUGAUCGUCGUGUUCAACAUCAUCUGGAUAUGUCACACAAGGGAGAUCCAUCACAUCGGCAAAAUCAUGGAUAUACAUCAGGAAUUGUUUCACACCUUGGGAGCCGAUAAAAAACCCAGAACCACUAUGGAUAGUCCCAUAUUGAGGCGGAUCGACAAUAUCACCAAGUCCAAAGAGGACAAAAGAUGCUACAGGGGUUUGGAGUUGAAAAAUCACAUGAAAAUUCUUCUGGUUAGUGAUCCAACUACAGACAAAUCAGCGGCUGCGAUGGAUGUUAAUGUUGGAUACUUGAGUGAUCCGAAGGAAGUUUUGGGUUUGGCUCAUUUCUGUGAACAUAUGCUGUUUUUGGGUACCAAAAAGUACCCUAAUGAGAACGACUAUAACAAAUUUUUAAGUGAACAUGGUGGCAGUAGUAAUGCAGCAACUUAUCCUGAUCAUACCCUAUAUUAUUUUGAUAUAGUACCUGAGCAUUUGAGUAAUGCACUUGAUAGAUUUUCACAAUUUUUUAUAUCACCCCUGUUUACUGAGAGUGCUACGGAAAGAGAAAUUAAUGCUGUGAACUCUGAGCAUGAAAAGAACAUCCCAAGUGAUGUCUGGAGGAUGGACCAAUUGGAUAAGCAUACAUCUAAAAAGGAUCAUCCAUAUAACACUUUUGGAACAGGUAAUAAGUAUACCCUUGAGGAACUUACAAAGCAAAACAAUAUAAAUGUGAGAGAUGAACUCUUAAAAUUCCAUGACAAAUGGUACUCUUCAAACAUUAUGUGUUUAGCAGUACUGGGAAAAGAAUCUCUGGAUGAGCUGGAGGAAAUGGUGACAGAAUUGUUUGCAACAGUAGAAGAUAAAAAUGUUACUGCCCCUAGAUGGGAGGAACAUCCAUUUGAUGAUGAACAUUUCAAAACCUUAGUAUACAUAUCCCCUGUUAAAGAUGUAAGAAAUCUUAACAUAGUAUUCCCCAGUGUUGAUCUCACACCCUACUACAAGUCUGCGCCGGGACACUACAUAAGCCAUUUAAUGGGACAUGAAGGACCUGGAAGUAUUUUAUCUAUAUUGAAAGCCAGGGGUUGGUCGAACAAUCUCGUUGCCGGCAACAGACCUGCCCCAAGAGGCAUAGGUUUUUUCGGUAUUGCUGUGGAUCUCACAGAGGAAGGUAUUGAUCACGUGGAUGAUAUCGUGAAACUUGUAUUUCAGUAUUUGAACAUGUUGAAAGCUGAAGGGCCAUUGAAAUGGGUGCAAGAAGAAAACAGGGAUAUUGGCCUAAUGUCCUUUAGAUUUAAAGACAGAGAAUCGCCUAGGGGCUAUAUCUCUGGUUUGGUUCACAAUCUCCAGGAGUAUCCAAUGGAAGAUAUUCUUUCUGUACAUUACAUAUUCACGGAGUGGGAACCGGAGUUGAUUGAACAAAUCUGGAACGAGUUUGUUCCUGAUAAAGUUAGAUUAGCGGUGAUCGCCAAGAAAUUCGAGAAAGAGUUAGAUGAGGUGGAACCAUGGUAUGGAACUAAGUACAAGAAGAUCAACAUAUCCGAGGACAUUCUGCAAGACUGGCGCCAAGCCGGAUUGUGUAACGAACUAAAAAUACCGCCAAAGAACGAAUUUAUCCCCACCGACUUUGAUUUGUAUCCGAUUGACAACGAUGUAACUGAAUAUCCAGUAAUUAUUCAAGAUACUGCCUUAAGCAGGAUUUGGUUCAAACAAGAUGACAAAUUUUUAUUGCCAAAAGCCAAUGUCAUGUUCGAUUUUGUCAGCCCUCUGGCGUAUUUAGAUCCCAUCAAUUGUAAUUUAACUCAUAUGCUGGUGCAAUUGUUUAGAGAUGCUCUCAAUGAAUAUGCAUAUGCAGCUGAAUGUGCAGGUCUCAGGUGGGAACUGCUGAAUACCAAAUAUGGUCUUAUUCUUGCCAUUGGUGGUUAUAGUAACAAACAACAUAUUUUAUUGGAAAAAGUGAUAGAAAAACUAGUUAAUUUUAAAAUUGAUCCCAAAAGAUUCGCUAUAUACAAGGAAAAUUACAUCAGAAAUUUGAAGAACUUCUCAGCUGAACAACCCUACCAGCAUGCUGUGUAUUAUUUGUCGGUCUUGUUGACGGAACAUUCGUGGACCAAACAAGAGUUAUUGGCAGCUACUGACCAAUUGACUAUUGACAAACUGGAAGCCUUUAUUCCGCAAAUGCUAUCAAAGAUGCACAUAGAAUGUCUGGUGCACGGUAAUGCCAAUAAGGAAAAGGCUUUAAAACUUGCCCAGAUUGUAGAGGAUCAUUUGACAUCGGCUCUUAGCAUGUCGCCUCUAUUGCCUCGCCAGCUUUUGCUCAACAGAGAACUGAAACUGGAAGACGGAUCUCACUAUGUAUACCAAGUUGAAAAUAAGGUGCACAAGUCGUCCUGUAUCGAAUUGUACUAUCAGUGUGGACUGCAGUCUAAGGAAAAUAACAUGAAAUUAGAGUUAUUCGCUCAGAUUAUUCAAGAGCCCUGCUUUAAUAUUCUCAGAACCAAGGAACAAUUAGGUUACAUAGUUUUUAGCGGUAUUAGACGUGCAAACGGUGUUCAGGGUUUAAGGAUUAUCGUGCAGUCUGACAGACACCCCGAAUUUUUGGAUACGAGGAUAGAACAGUUUUUGGAGAGCAUGCUCGAACAUAUUGAAAAAAUGUCAGACCAAGAAUUCGUGAGGCACAGGGAUGCUUUGGCAGCUCAACGAUUGGAAAAACCGAAACAGUUAACAGCUCAAUCCAACCUGUACUGGACGGAAAUCACUUCCCAGCAAUACCACUUUGACAGAGCCAACACUGAAGUGGCCUAUCUCAAAACCUUGACUAAGGAGGAUGUCAUAAACUUUUACAAGAACAUCCUAAAGGAGAAUAGUCCGCAUCGCAAAAAACUAGCUGUGCAAGUGGUGAGCAGCGCCGAGGGCGGAGCUGGCCUCCUCUCGGAAGCGGAGCGAUUAGGCGACGCAAAACCACGGGAUACUGAAACCCCACCAACCGUUAUCGAAGAUGUGACCGUGUUUAAGAGCACGCACGAAAUGCAUCCGCUGGUCCAACCCUACAUCAACAUCACACGCAAAGAUGACUCAAGAAUAGAAUGCAAGGAUCUAACAAAAUAAACCAGUUUUCUACAGUAUGUAUAUAAUUACAUAAAUAUAUAAGGAAAUAAAUGAGUACUUUUCUUCGGUCAGUGUGGAUGCUGACACAGUAUACAUUUCAAGUGUAGGCGUAAUUUUACCCAGUAUCCCUGAAAUUAUAUGGUCAUGUCCAAGCUGGUCCAUUAUAAAUAUUUUGUGUUCCUUAACGAAGCUAUUACUUUCAGGUCUUAAUUGGAUUGCAACAUUAUUAGUUCCCAUAUAAUGAGGAUAAAAUUGUAUGUGAAGUGUAUGACCUAAAAUAAAUUUUAUAAUUAAAAAUUUAACUAAUUUAAAAUAAAGUAUUUGGAUAG